rnacentral:rRNA from 1 species
CCUAAGGUAGCGAAAUUCCUUGUCGGGUAAGUUCCGACCUGCACGAAUGGCGUAACGACUUCCCCACUGUCUCGACCAGGAGCUCGGCGAAAUUGCAGUACGAGUAAAGAUGCUCGUUAAGCGCAGAAGGACGAAAAGACCCCGGGACCUUUACUAUACCUUGGUAUUGGCAUUCGGUGUGGAUUGUGUAGCAUAGGCGGGAGGCCGAGAGGCGCGGUCGCCAGAUCGCGCGGAGCCGUAAGGUGAAAUACCGCUCUGUUCGCAUUGGAUGUCUAACCUCGAACAGUCAUCCUGUUCAGGGACAGUGCCUGGCGGGUAGUUUAACUGGGGCGGUUGCCUCCCAAAGAGUAACGGAGGCGCCCAAAGGUCCGCUCAGCCCGGUUGGCAAUCGGGUGGCGAGUGCAAGUGCACAAGCGGGCUUGACUGCGAGGACGACGGUCCGAGCAGGGACGAAAGUCGGGACUAGUGAUCCGGUGCCGGUGUACGGACGCGGCAUCGCUCAACGGAUAAAAGGUACCCCGGGGAUAACAGGCUGAUCAUUCCCAAGAGUCCAUAUCGACGGGAUGGUUUGGCACCUCGAUGUCGGCUCGUCGCAUCCUGGGGCUGGAGCAGGUCCCAAGGGUUCGGCUGUUCGCCGAUUAAAGCGGCACGCGAGCUGGGUUCAGAACGUCGUGAGACAGUUUGGUCUCUAUCCUCUGCGCUCGUUGGAAUGCUGAGGAGGCCUGCCCAUAGUACGAGAGGACCUGGGUGGACGAACCUCUGGUAUGCCGGUUGUCACGCCAGUGGCACGGCCGGUUGGCUACGUUCGGAAGGGAUAACCGCUGAAAGCAUCUAAGCGGGAAGCCUGCUCCAAGAUAAGCAUUCCGUGGAACCUUCGAGUUCCUGUAGUCCCCAUGCAGAACACGUGGUCGAUAGGCCGGACGUGGAAGCCCCGCGAGGGGUGGAGCCGACCGGUACUAACGGACGAAAGGCAACACUAA